UAUAGGAGGAGGGGGGGGACAUGUACAGAUACACACAUCAUACUGGGGGGGAACAUGUGCAGAUACAUUGACGCGGGGGGACACAGGAUGAGGAGCAGCCAAAGACGAGCUUGGAUGCCUUUCAGGAGCUCCUCUCAGUCCAUAAUUACUGUAAGCCAGACGCUGCUUUGGUCAUUUACACCAUCAUGACGCAGAUCAAAGAUUUUUCUAAAAGGUCAAGUAACAAUGACUCUGUCAGCAUGAAAAAUAAUCUGCAGAAAUGGGAAUUUUAAUCAGAACCAAAGUGUUUUAGCCACAAUGGGGUAAUUGUACCCAGGCCCGGGAAUCUCCUGCGUAUAACAGGGAGGUCAGGAUUGCACUUUUCUGCUCUAUUAAAAGGUAAGAGAACUUCUCGAGAAGGUAAUCCCGACCCAGCGAACAGGCUCCUGCGUAUAAAAAGCGAUAAUAGCACAGAGGCUUAAUGAUUUCAGGGUGGGGAGGGUCAAAGCUCACAGAGCUGUCUGAUGGAGCUCCUCUGGCACCAUGGCUCUUGCCAAGUGCUCUGGGCUUUUCCUGCAGGAAAGAGAAGAGCUCCAUGGCGGAGCAGGACUUUAAUCCUUUCCCUACAAGCUCCUGCCUACAGGUCCUACUUUACCCGAGACAAAGCCCCCCCAGAGGACAGAGCCGGUGAGUUUCUGCUCUCUCUGGACUUCGACUUCUUGAUUGGGACGUUUGAUUUAAUGGGGCAUUUUCCAUGAUGGGGAUGAUCUUCUCAUGCUGCUGCAGGGGGAGGGGGGUGCAGGACUGUGAUUUCCAUGGUGCUUGAGAGCCUCAGGGGGUUUAAUGAAGAGUGGGCUUGGCUUUAUGAGCAAGCUGCAAUGAAGCCUCCCUUCCACAUGUUCCUCCUUGCAGCUUCUCAACAAUCUGCUUUCCCGCUGGGUGUAAAAUUACAGGAACGCCCCAGCGAGCAGGUAGCCGCCUCAUGUAACCCCCCCGGAGGCCCCCCCAGCUCUGCCCAGAGGUCCCGGCAUUUCCUAUUGCGAGUCCCCCCCAUCCGUCAGCCCUUCGCCGCUCUGGCACCGGCUAACACCUCAAUCGCCCAAACCACUUAAACCCUAAGCCCCCCCCCCCGGAAUGAUUCUGGCUCACCGGGCUGUUAACACGGCACCUGUCAGGAAUCAAAGGCAUGGGUGGGGGGGCUGCGAACAGGACAAAUCCACCCCCCCACCCCGUGCUGGCCCAGCCUCCCACUGCCACAGUGGUCCAGAGGAUCUCUGUCAGCACCACUGAGCUCCAGAAUUAUGGCCUGCGGGAGGGGGGACAAUAAAGCAGGGAAAUAACAACACCACUGCUACUUAGUCAGCCAUCUCUCGCACAACAGGAAGUGAUUUAUCCCCCUGUCAGCAGGUACUGAUGAUGUAAUCACUCAGAGCCAAUGCCGUGUGCCGACGUCAUCUGACACCCUCCCACUUUCAGGCUCAGCUGCUGCCUUUGCUUCCCAUAUACUUUCCAUAAGCAUUUCAUGUAUUUAUUUAUGUAUGUACUUCAUUUCCCUGUUUGGAUUUGGCAACUGAAGAAAUCAUAACACUGCAGCUGGCACCUCUGCUUCUCUGAGGCCCCUGCUGGUCAACAUUGGCUAUUGCACCACAUAUGCCGCCACCCCCGGGGAGACCCCGCACACCAUUAUCCAUAUUCAUCCUGCUGAUGCUGUGCUGUCUGUCAGCAGCACCUGUGGACCUGUCUCGCAGCGGAUCGGAGCUGCUCCGGUAACCUCGCCUGGACCGGGCGAUAAGUCCAAACCGCUCGCCACUCCUGCCUGCUGUGGCCCAUUACAAUGACAAUGGCGAUAAGAGACAUUUAUCACUCCUACCUCAGGGUGACGAAGAGAGCCCAGAGACAUGUCCGGGGGGAGAGGAGCAGGGGAGGAGCAGGACACGGAGCAGAGAGCCUGAAUUACAGCAUGCCGUGACAUGUUAACACCCUGGCAGGCCGUCCGCUUCCCAUUCAGAGCAACACACGGAUUGGUCCUCCUCAUGUUCACCAACCCUAACCUCACAGAAAUUACGUCACCGAUGGGACGCGGGGCUGACUGGCGGUGCCACUGUGGCGUGGCACGGGGCGGCGCCUUUGUGCCCUGGGCUCAAUGGACCAAUUGUGACACCGGCUGAGAUGUGGUACGGACAGAACCUGCAGCUGUGAAAACAAGGCAGCUCUGGGUAUCGUCUAGCUGGCACCGCCAACACAUGCUGGGCACGCACCGCCCUGAAAGACACUCCCACCAGUCUGAUGCCAGGGCAGUGUGCUUGUGACAAGCCAGGUCUGUAUCAGGGUCCCCUCCUGACCCGCCUGAGGUGACUGUGACGGUGUAGCCUCUCUAACAACCUCAAUUUUAGAGGUGUCCUUGAGGAGGUAACACCACUGCCCCCUACAGGGCUGGGCUCAUUCACAUGGGCUCUCGCAACAAGGAGACGGAGGGAGUAAGCAGCCUAUAAGGUGUGAUGCCAGUGGCCUAUAAACAUACCCACUGCCAUCACAGUGCAUGUGAACACGGUUACUCUCACCACAGUCCAUAUAAACAUACCCACUGCCAUCACAGUGCAUGUGAACACGGUUACUCUCACCACAGUCCAUAUAAACAUACCCACUGCCAUCACAGUGCAUGUGAACAUGCUUACUCUCACCACAGUCCAUGUGAACACGUUUUCUGUCAUCACAAUCCAUGUGAACGUUUCUGUCACCAUAGCUUGUGUAAAUAUAUUUUUGUGGAAAACAAAUUAAACUUUGCUUUGAGAAUGACCUGGCCUUUAAUUCUAUUGUGGAAGACAGGAAAGGAGAGCCCAGAGAUAGGGUUCAGCUAGCUUGUGUUUAAACACAGAAGAAUGCACAAUGAUGCUUUGUUGAUAUGUAAUUCUUCCAUGGUUUCUGUUGGUGAUGGAAGAAUGAUGCAGUACAUACAAUGAUCAGUGUUCACUGAACUAUGAAACACUGAAGCAACUUGGAUAGGCAGUCCUCAUGACUUGAAGAUGUUCUACGCCAAUGCAGGGAGUGUAUCUGAAUGACUUCCCAGAAACAGAGAAAGUGCCCCCACAGAUAUGAGAGCUCCAGAGCACCAUACAGUUCUCCCAACCCCCUCAAGCACCCCAUAGCCAAGCAUGAAGAAUAGCUGCAGUUUGAAUUCCCACCAGUAGGUGGGGAUAGACAUGAAAGUAACUGUAUGGCACUGAGGCUGCCCGUAUGCACAAAGUGUUUAAUCGCCCUCACGCGUCAACAUUGUUAAAAAUAUGGCUAGAGCACCGUGCUGAAUAAUGCUCCUGUGAUUACAUUUUUAUCUCAACUGUUAUUUGACAGCAAACAUCUUAUUUCAAACCCCAGAGCUAUUAAAGCCUCUGCUUAAGAAAGCAACUUAGCAGAGAUCCUUGUGAGUUGGGCCGCUGACGUGUUCAGGGCUGGGUCGAGCCAGGCCGGUGGCACCAGCCGUGGGCAGAGGUCUGCGAUAAGCCGGAGUCUCCGCCAUGACCCACCCUGUUUAUUGACCGACUCCAGCCAGUCUGGAGUUCAUUGGGAGCCACCAUUAUCUCUCCAGAGAUUAUUAAAAAUUAAUUGAUUCCUGCAGUAUUAUCCAUAGUCUAACCCAACCCGCUGCAGAUGACACUACAGCCAAUAAACGUACAUUUGUGUUUUUUUUCUGCCUUUUUUAUGACCCCUGUCAAUUCCUGGGCCCGUUAUCAGGUCAUAAAUUCAUUAGGUGCUAACACACCUAGCAGAAGCAGCCCUUUAGUUCCAACAAACAAGAUUAGAGCACGGCAGAGGCUGCUUCAGGAACAGGAGCCCAGCCAUAGGGGUUAGGGUGCAAAACCGUGCCGCAUCAUCCCUGAAGACCACCAGGGGAGUUUUACCUCUCUGUCCAUCUCAUAUGUCACACCAGAAAAUCUUAAAGCUUGGGUCAGAACUGAGAAGCUUGGCUCUUCUGACAGGAGUAGUGGUGUAAAAAACACUAUAAUGGCAGUGUAAAAAACACUGUAGUUGCAGUGCAAAAUUACACUAUUAGAGCAGUGUAAAAUUUCUGUAACAGUGGUGUAAAAAUAGCAACAGUGUAAAACACUGGGAGUGUAAAAAACAGCAGUGUCAGGAUCUGUCUCUGUCAUGUUCCUUUCUGGCCAGCAGAUGUCGCUAGCCAUCCCUUUUCUCCCUAAUGUGUCAAUUACUCACACCUGUCUCUUGUUAAUGACUUUCUUUCUGUGAAUAUAUGUGCCUUCCCUUGCCAUGCUCCUCAGCUCGGUCAUUACUGUUGUUCUAUAGGCUUUCUGUGUGAGCCCUGAAGUUUAUUGUUGCUGUUUACCCUAUAUUUCCCAUUUCUUCAGAUUAGCCCUUGUCCAUUCCUUUUGGAUCCCCUCUUGUCUUUGGUUUUGACUGUUAGUGAUUACAGCAGUGUGACAACAGUAUAAAAAACUGUGUAAGCGCAAUGUUACAGCAGUGUGACAACAGUAUAAAAAAAUGUGUAAGGGCAAUGUUACAGCAGUGUGGCAAAAGUGUAAAAAAUGUGUAAGGGCAAUGUUACAGCAGUGUGACAACAGUGUAAAAAACUGUAAGCGCAAUGUUACAGCAAUGUGACAAUAGUGUAAAAAAUGUGUAAGGGCAAUGUUACAGCAGUGUGACAACAGUGUAAAAAACUGUGUAAGGGCAAUGUUACAGCAGUGUGACAACAGUGUAAAAAAUGUGUAAGGGCAAUGUUACAGCAGUGUGACAAUAGUGUAAAAAAUGUGUAAGGGCAAUGUUACAGCAAUGUGACAAUAGUGUAAAAAAUGUGUAAGGGCAAUGUUACAGCAAUGUGACAAUAGUGUAAAAACUGUGUAAGGGCAAUGUUACAGCAGUGUGACAACAGUGUAAAAAACUGUGUAAGCGCAAUGUUACAGCAGUGUGACAAUAGUGUAAAAAAUGUGUUUUACACUAUGUUACAGCAGUGUGGGAACAAUGUAAAAAAGCAUGAAAUGGCAGUGUAAAGGCAAGAAUAAAUCCCUGUUGCUUUCAAGACAAAUAAUAAAAACAUUGCAGACAAA